rnacentral:tRNA from 1 species
GGAUUGUGGCUCAGCGGUAGAGCGCUUGCCUAGCACAUGUGAGGCCCUGGGUUCGAUCCUCAGCACCA